rnacentral:rRNA from 1 species
GGACUACCCGGGUAUCUAAUCCUGUUUGCUCCCCACGCUUUCGUGCCUGAGCGUCAGUGUUGACCCAGGGGGCUGCCUUCGCCAUCGGUGUUCCUCCACAUCUCUACGCAUUUCACUGCUACACGUGGAAUUCCACCCCCCUCUGCCACACUCUAGCAGCCUAGUUUCAAGCGCAAUUCCCAGGUUAAGCCCGGGGAUUUCACACCUGACUUGAGCCGCCGCCUGCGCACGCUUUACGCCCAGUAAUUCCGAUUAACGCUCGCACCCUACGUAUUACCGCGGCUGCUGGCAC